ACGGGCUACUACUCCUUGCAUGAACUUGUAAAUGUGAUUUCCGUACUUAUACGCUCGCCACCGUAUAUCAAAUUAAUUAUCACGGAAGUUUUCAGUAGACGUUCGUACGAUUUUUCUAUUAUGAUUCAUUUCUUUUCUGAUGUGAUUAAAAAACAUGCACAAGAAAAAUUUAAUUCAUUACGUGGAAUUCAAGGAAAUGGAUAAUCAAAUAAAUGAUAGAACAAGUGAAAGGAUGUCCGUAAUUAUAAUAGAUUUAAAGUACGCUAUCAAAGAAGUCAGUAGCAUGCUAUUUUCUAUUCCUCAAUUUACGUAAAAUAUUUAGUUCACGAAUUCAUUUAAGAGGAUGGAAUUGAUAUUUCGUGUUAUUCCGAAAAACAAGGAAACUCUUCCCGUGAUAACUUUUAAAUUAAAUUUGUUUUUCCAAUUGAUUUAUCAAUCUUCUCUCGCGGAAGAAUUAUUUAUUGACGCAGCAUAUGAAAAGGCUGAUAGUUGAACGUUGGUAGAUAAAACUUGACAAAAUGCAUAGCUAGUUUUUUUCACUUUUUAUUGUAAAAAGAAACAAGUCAAACAACGACGAUGAGUAAAUCGAGCCAUUAGCAAAUCACGGGAUAAAAGCAGAAAGGAAAAAUGUGGAUCAAAGAGUGAAGAUUUUUUGGAUGACACGGAAAGAGGAAGUUUUAAAAGCUUAGAAGAGAAAAUUAUGCGACAUGUGAGGAAUUGAGAACAACCAGAUAGCGUCAAAUACUCAGAGUGUGUCUUUGGCAAACUCAGUAGACAGAAAUUAAUAGGAAUAGCUGUUUUACGUCGCAUCGACCUUCAGGUCAUUAUUGUUAUAAUAAUGUUAUUCAGUACAAGUUUAGAAUUUUUGGAGUUUAAUUAAUUUAUAUACAGUGCAACAAACGUAUUACAUUUGCAUCGAGACCCUCAAAUUUUUUUUUAAAGGAUGAUAUAUCAAAACUUAACAAGUGGCUCCUGUAGUUUAAAGAAUUCAAUUUUUCCGACAGUCGUCUACAAAGAUAUUGGAAAACGAUAUGAUCCCAGUUUUACACACACUGGGCAAUAUUCCAACUAUUCGUUGUAAAAGAUGAAACGACUGAAUGCCUUCAAUAUCUUAUAGUUAACCUACAUUUUCUGGUAUCUACAGUUUGCCUACUGUUUCCUUCAUGUACGUUUGUCGAUAGCCUCGAUUGUCCAAGAAGAUAUUGAAGAUGUAUCUGAAAGCUCUCUUCUUUUCACAAGUUCGAAGUACUUUUCUUUGUGUCUACCGUUAACACACGUGUAACGUUGUGGAGUCAACAUUAUAUCAAUAUUGACACAGUGUAGCAGUGAUUUAUAUGUGUACAUUGUAUUAGUAAUUAUAUUUGUGCAAUGGUAGACAAUAAAGA